GAUGAACGCUAGCUACAGGCUUAACACAUGCAAGUCGAGGGACCGGCGCGCGGGUGAGUAAAACGUAUCCAACCUGCCCUUUACUGGGGGAUAGCCUUUCGCAGGAGAGAUUAAUACACGAUAUACAGGAUGGGGAUGCGGUCCAUUAGGUGGUGGGUGAGGUAACGGCCCACCAAUCCUUCGAUGGAUAGGGGUUCUGAGAGGAAGGUCGUCCACAUUGGAACUGAGACACGGUCCACACGCCUACGGGAGGCAGCAGUGAGGAAUAUUGGGCAAUGGGCGCUAGCCUGAACCAGCCAAGUAGCGUGAAGGAUGAAGGCUUAUGGGUCGUAAACUGCUUUUAUAUAAGAAGAUGUAUUAGAUGAAUAAGGAUCGGCUAACUCCGUGCCAGCCGCCGCGGUAAUUC
rnacentral:rRNA from 1 species